AAGUAACUUGCCUCUCCGCCGGUAACUCAACUCAACUCCGACGAUUAUUAGGUCUUUUGAACUUCCAUUCUCGAACCCAACUCAGACGAUUCAGAUCUACAGAUUAUGCUAAAGACUUUAAAGAACUUGAAGAACUUGAAGAACUUGAAUAACCUGAAGAACUCGAAGAACUUGUCUCAUAUAUUUAGAUUCUCUGUUUUAAAUGUCAAGAAGUUGUAUUUGUUGUUUAUUCCGCCAAUUUAUUUUGUAUCAAUGUAUACCGCGAUGAAUUUGCAAUAUUAAAUCAACUUCAAUUCUCA